rnacentral:rRNA from 1 species
UAAGGAAUAUUGGUCAAUGGACGCAAGUCUGAACCAGCCAUGCCGCGUGGAGGAUGACGGUCCUCUGGAUUGUAAACUUCUUUUAUUUGGGAAGAAAACCUCUGAUUAUUCGGAGCUUGACGGUACCAGAUGAAUAAGCACCGGCUAACUCCGUGCCAGCAGCCGCGGUAAUACGGAGGGUGCAAGCGUUAUCCGGAUUCACUGGGUUUAAAGGGUGCGUAGGCGGAUAGGUAAGUCCGUGGUGAAAUCUCUCGACUUAAUCGGGAAACUGCCAUGGAUACUAUUUACCUUGAAUGUUGUGGAGGUUAACGGAAUAUGUCCUUUAGCGGUGAAAUGCUUAGAUAUGACAUGGAACACCAAUUGCGAAGGCAGUUAACUACACAAAUAUUGACGCUGAUGCACGAAAGCGUGGGG